rnacentral:rRNA from 1 species
GACGAACGCUGGCGGCGUGCCUAACACAUGCAAGUCGAGCGGAGCCAACCGUCAGAUUCCUUCGGGGUGACGACGGGGAAGCUUAGCGGCGGACGGGUGAGUAACGCGUGAGUAACCUGCCCUUGAGAGGGGAAUAACACACCGAAAGGUGUGCUAAUACCGCAUGAUAUGUAUUUAUCGCAUGAUAGAUACAUCAAAGAUUUAUCGCUCAAAGGAUGGACUCGCGUCUGAUUAGAUAGUUGGUAGGGUAACGGCCUACCAAGUCGACGAUCAGUAGCCGAACUGAGAGGUUGAUCGGCCACAUUGGGACUGAGACACGGCCCAGACUCCUACGGGAGGCAGCAGUGGGGGAUAUUGCGCAAUGGGGGCAACCCUGACGCAGCAACGCCGCGUGAAUGAAGAAGGUUUUCGGAUCGUAAAGUUCUUUAAGUGUGGAAGAAGAUGACGGUACACACAGAAUAAGCCACGGCUAACUACGUGCCAGCAGCCG